rnacentral:rRNA from 1 species
UAUAGCGGCGAGAGCACGUUGAAUGCCCCGGUCCCCAAUGGUUCACUGAAGGUAAGUAACGUUGCAAGUGGUUGGUAUUCGGAUGGGUGACCAUCUAGGCAAUUGCUUUUCCCUUUCC